UACGUAGGGGGCAAGCGUUGUCCGGAAUCAUUGGGCGUAAAGCGCGUGUAGGCGGCCAGAAAAGUCCGCUGUGAAAACUCGAGGCUCAACUUCGAGCUGUCGGUGGAAACUUUCUGGCUAGAGUCCGGAAGAGGAGAAUGGAAUUCCUGGUGUAGCGGUGAAAUGCGCAGAUAUCAGGAAGAACACCCGUGGCGAAGGCAGCUCGCUGGGACGGUACUGACGCUGAGACGCGAAAGCGUGGGGAGCAAACAGG
rnacentral:rRNA from 1 species